UUCAUAAAAUUCGCACAGGGUCUUGCAACGCAUCAACCGCGCACGCGUGACAAUAGAAAGAAAUAAAGAGCUCUGCUUCUCAGUAAGAAGCAUGACAAUCGACACCGCCCCCAUGGAAGACAUCCAGGCCAAGGCCGAGGAGCUCCGUCUCCAACUCUCCUCCCUCCACUUCAACUCUGCAGCUCCACCUCCUAACCAAGACUUAUAUAAUAAUAAUACUGAGAACAAUUUUGGUGAUGCCCAAGAAGUGUUCUACGACGACGACGGUUUGCUUUUCAAUAUUGGGUUCGGAAAUGUGAUCGUCGUUGAUAACGUUUCGAUUGUGAAGGCGGAGAUGGCCCAGCAGCUCGAAAGCGAAAUCCGACGAGUGUUUAGUGAAGUUGGUGUUAUUAAAGAAGAUGGGUUUUCGAUGCCUCUUAAUCCCCUGAACCAGAAAACCUUGGGUCGUUGUUUUCUAGAGUUCAGUUCUCGUCAGGAAGCUGAACUUGCUAGGGUCAAGAGAGAUGGAUACAACUUCAACACACAAGCGCUGUCAGUAACCCUGUAUGAUGACUUGGACAGGUUCAUUGAUAUCACUGAUGUGGGGACAACACCAGAAACUAAUCCAUCCGCUUGUUUGGUGAUGAUGGAAACAUGUGUUAGCAGCCUCCUUAAAGCUUUUCUUCUGGAAAUAUGAAUUGCAUAUCUACACCAACCAAGCAAACUAUCAGGGGUAGGACCACUAAACAAGAAUCAAGCAUCUCUCAACCAAGCAAACCUAAUCCAUCUCCUUGUGUGUCCUCAAGGUAUUCAGUGCCACCAUCCUUACACAGCCCCUUGAAAGAGGAAGAUGAAGUACCUGGAGAAGAACGCCAAGAAGACCACAGCAAAAGGAGCAAGAUUUAGGGGAAGUCACUGCAUCAAUGGGAGUGAUGGGUUUUGUAGGGGAACGACAGUAUGAAGAAUAGAAAUGUGCAUGAAAAUUUAAAGGGAUGAAGAUGCCAAUGAUGGGAAAGGAGACAUGUGCUGAAAUCAAUUGAAUUUCAAGUGCUGUAAUUUUGAAGAUUAAGUCCAGUCUGGAUUUACUUACGAUCGAAUAUACGGACAUUUUUCAUCCCUUGUUGCUCAACCAACCUCAUAAAAUUGCUUUCAAGCCAGCCAU